UUCGGGGUACUCGAGUGGCGAACGGGUGAGUAACACGUGGGUGAUCUGCCCUGCACUUUGGGAUAAGCCUGGGAAACUGGGUCUAAUACCGAAUAGGACCACGCGCUUCAUGGUGUGUGGUGGAAAGCUUUUGCGGUGUGGGAUGGGCCCGCGGCCUAUCAGCUUGUUGGUGGGGUAAUGGCCUACCAAGGCGACGACGGGUAGCCGGCCUGAGAGGGUGACCGGCCACACUGGGACUGAGAUACGGCCCAGACUCCUACGGGAGGCAGCAGUGGGGAAUAUUGCACAAUGGGCGCAAGCCUGAUGCAGCGACGCCGCGUGAGGGAUGACGGCCUUCGGGUUGUAAACCUCUUUCAAUAGGGACGAAGCGCAAGUGACGGUACCUAUAGAAGAAGCACCGGCCAACUACGUGCCAGCAGCCGCGGUAAUACGUAGGGUGCGAGCGUUGUCCGGAAUUACUGGGCGUAAAGAGCUCGUAGGUGGUUUGUCGCGUUGUUCGUGAAAACUCACAGCUUAACUGUGGGCGUGCGGGCGAUACGGGCAGACUAGAGUACUGCAGGGGAGACUGGAAUUCCUGGUGUAGCGGUGGAAUGCGCAGAUAUCAGGAGGAACACCGGUGGCGAAGGCGGGUCUCUGGGCAGUAACUGACGCUGAGGAGCGAAAGCGUGGGGAGCGAACAGGAUUAGAUACCCUGGUAGUCCACGCCGUAAACGGUGGGUACUAGGUGUGGGUUCCUUCCUUGGGAUCCGUGCCGUAGCUAACGCAUUAAGUACCCCGCCUGGGGAGUACGGCCGCAAGGCUAAAACUCAAAGGAAUUGACGGGGGCCCGCACAAGCGGCGGAGCAUGUGGAUUAAUUCGAUGCAACGCGAAGAACCUUACCUGGGUUUGACAUGCACAGGACGCCGGCAGAGAUGUCGGUUCCCUUGUGGCCUGUGUGCAGGUGGUGCAUGGCUGUCGUCAGCUCGUGUCGUGAGAUGUUGGGUUAAGUCCCGCAACGAGCGCAACCCUUGUCCUAUGUUGCCAGCGGGUUAUGCCGGGGACUCGUAGGAGACUGCCGGGGUCAACUCGGAGGAAGGUGGGGAUGACGUCAAGUCAUCAUGCCCCUUAUGUCCAGGGCUUCACACAUGCUACAAUGGCCGGUACAAAGGGCUGCGAUGCCGUGAGGUGGAGCGAAUCCUUUCAAAGCCGGUCUCAGUUCGGAUCGGGGUCUGCAACUCGACCCCGUGAAGUCGGAGUCGCUAGUAAUCGCAGAUCAGCAACGCUGCGGUGAAUACGUUCCCGGGCCUUGUACACACCGCCCGUCACGUCAUGAACGUCGGUAACACCCGAAGCC
rnacentral:rRNA from 1 species